rnacentral:rRNA from 1 species
AUACGAAGGGGGCUAGCGUUGCUCGGAAUCACUGGGCGUAAAGGGCGCGUAGGCGGACUUUUAAGUCGGAGGUGAAAGCCCAGGGCUCAACCCUGGAAUUGCCUUCGAUACUGGGAGUCUUGAGUUCGGAAGAGGUUGGUGGAACUGCGAGUGUAGAGGUGAAAUUCGUAGAUAUUCGCAAGAACACCGGUGGCGAAGGCGGCCAACUGGUCCGAAACUGACGCUGAGGCGCGAAAGCGUGGGGAGC